UGCAAGAUGACUCUUCUUAAGGUAGGGGAGACGCUGAGGGCAGAGGAAACGUGCUGUGGCUUAGUUGAACCAAGGGGGACGUUGAACUAAGUUGAUAAUGGCUCUAGAUAAAAACUGGAAUCCUAUCAAAGGUCAAGACAAGACUAGAAACAGAAAGAUAAUCAAUGGAGGAUCAGUGAGCUCAGAGGCCGGAAGGAUUCAAGCCAGGAUGGCAGGCAGAGUGAGGUGUGGAAGAAGCCUGUGCUUCAGAAUGAGUUCUUGGAUAGGGAGGGGAUCUCAGAGGUCCUUCUGAGUGGAGGAGGUGCUGUCCAGGUUGCAGAGAUGAAUGUGAUAGCUAAAAGGGAUCUCUCGAGGCUGGCCACCUUUCCCAUGGCACUGAGACUCUGUACGUUUCAUCCAGUGGUGGUCUUUCUUUGUUCAUACCUUCAAACUAUGCUUAAGGUCCUUUCAAAUGUCUGACCUGAAAUGAACUUGUAGACAAAGUUAACACUGAAGAACCCUGUGACAGAAAACUUUGAAAAGAGUUUACGGAUGUCUAGCCUUUUAAUGGAAGUCCUCAUUUGUACUUCAGCUACUGGUAACGUUUUUAUCCGUGAAUGGUUUGCUUGGGACUCAGACUUCAUGCUUGAAGAAAUGCAGGCAGACCUGUUAUCCCAAAAACUAGGGUUUUUAAUGACCACACCAAUCAAGCAUCCAGUUUACCCCUUGAAAGGGUCUUGCCUCACCAAGGCUGGAGUGCAGUGGCUCUUUGAGGCUUACUACAGCCUCAAACUCCUGGGCUCAAAUGAUCCUCAGCCUCCCAGAGGACUUUGCAGACAAGCUAAUGGAGUCUCGUGGUACAAGAAGAUUAAACAGUGUCUCCAAUUUCAAUAAGUUUCUGCAAUCCAUC